rnacentral:sRNA from 1 species
CUUUAGCCCCGAUUGCAGUGAAAAUCCUUUUUAUUUUUUCUUUAAAAAUAAAAAGAUUGCAACGCAAAGCGGGAGGGAUG